GGCGGGGUAGCUCAGGCGGUUAGAGCGUAGGAUUCAUAACCCUAAGGUCGGGGGUUCAACUCCCCCCCCCGUCA